rnacentral:misc_RNA from 1 species
GAAAUGCGAUAAGUAGUGUGAAUUGCAGAAUUCAGUGAAUCAUCGAAUCUUUGAACGCACAUUGCGCCCUUUGGCAUUCCGAAGGGCAUACCUGUUCGAGCGUCAUUUAAACCCCUCAAGCUCAGCUUGGUUUUGGGCGUCUUGUCUGAAUAGACUCGCCUUAAAAAUAUCGGCACUAUCUUGCUUGUUAGGAACGCAGUACAUUGUUGCUCCUGGUAGAAGCAGGUUGGUAGCUACUUAACCUUUUAUAAUUACCAUUUGACCUCGGAUCAGGUAGGGAUACCCGCUGAACUUAA